AAAAUUAAUUGGGUAUUUAGUGUGGUAUGAUAGUGUAUAU
rnacentral:guide_RNA from 1 species